GUCGUUAUAGUAUAGUGGUAAGUAUUCCCACCUGUCACACGGGUGACCCGGGUUUGAUCCCUGGAAACGAUG
rfam:Nicotiana sylvestris Nsyl_contig15302, whole genome shotgun sequence.